GGCCUCCCGCUUCGUCUCCCCUUCUCCUCCCCGUCUCAGGGAGCCUGCAGCCAGGGAUCAGGCAGGCGAGAUGCUAAGGUCUAUAAUGUGCUCUAUGUAGGAGGCAAAAAGAAGAGGAUCUGAAUCCUUUGAGGUCCACUCUGGAGGCCAUCGUCCCUGCUGAGCCCCCCAGAGACACAGGGAGCUUCGAUCUCAGCAAUGGGACAUUGAUUUUUACAACUCCAGCAACAAGAGAACAGUGAGUAAGCCAACACUACCCACAUUUGAGAAACAGAAUUUGGAGUUAAAAU